AACGAACGCUGGCGGCAGGCUUAACACAUGCAAGUCGAACGCGUGUAGCAAUACACGAGUGGCGCACGGGUGAGUAACACGUGGAUAUCUGCCUUUUGGUUCGGAAUAACCCUGGGAAACUAGGGCUAAUACCGAAUGGUUCCUACGGGAUAAAGAUUUAUCGCCAAAAGAUGAGUCCGCGUCCGAUUAGCUAGUUGGUGAGGUAACGGCUCACCAAGGCGAUGAUGGUUAGCCGGCCUGAGAGGGUGAACGGCCACAUUGGAACUGAGAAACGGUCCAGACUCCUACGGGAGGCAGCAGUGAGGAAUAUUGCGCAAUGGGCGAAAGCCUGACGCAGCGACACCGCGUGAAGGAUGAAGGCUUUAGGGUUGUAAACUUCUGUUAAGUGGGAAGAAAAAGGCGGUCCUAAUACGACCGCAAACUGACGGUACCACUAGAGAAAGCACCGGCUAACUUCGUGCCAGCCGCCGCCGUAAU
rnacentral:rRNA from 1 species